rnacentral:lncRNA from 1 species
CUCCGCGCGCUUCUUUAUCGCGUCUCGCUCCAUCAGGGAAGCGACUGCAGAACCAAGCAAAGGCGGUCAUCCGAGGGGCCGGCGAGGCCAGGAACGCGUCGCCGCGUGUCCGUGACCAGGGCACCGCGCCACGGAUGCCAGAUCCCAGGCUGGAGAGAGCGGGUUGCCCCAGAUCCGCGGGCAGAGGCGCAGAGCCGAAGCCCGGAGGAGAGGAGUUUGAGAGCCGCCAUCUUCGGGCGGUGAGGCAGGAGGAGGCUGCGGGUUGGAGCGCGCGUUUGAGCGUCGGUGCGCGACUGCGAAGGAAACCCGGGCGGGCUGGAGGCUCGACAGCGCGUCGAUGACGUCCUCCCGGCCUUUCGAGCCGCACGCCACCGGCGCGCUGCUGGCUGCUGCUUUUAAAAGAAGUGAGGCUGGGCGGGGCCCCGGCGGGGAGAAGAGGCUCUGUGCAGCCGGGGCGGAUCGCGGGGAAGUUCCUCUCAGCGCCUCAGGUGUCUGGGCGUGUGCAGCUGUGUUGGCGCACACUUGCCGCUACAGCCCUUCUGUCAGCCCUUUAGCUUCGAUGGGGCGCUGGUGGCCGCCUCCCCCUAGGAUCUCCCGCCAAGCUUGUUGCUUUUCCAAGUUAGUGCCUGGCGUGUGUGUGGGCUGCAUAGGGGCACCCCUCGAGGCCCCCUUCUCUUCUCCCGCCUGGACUGCGUUCACGUUUCUAACAUUUCUCAGCCCCUUCUCCCCACAUCUGGCCUUGGCUUACAUAGAGUAAGUUUGCUGUGAGCACUUGCCUCGA